CCCUUAGAUGUUCUGGGCCGCACGCGCGCUACACCGUUCGACGCAGCGAGUCUUAACCUUGACCGAAAGGUUUGGGUAAUCUUCAGCAAAGUCGAACGUGAUGGGGAUCGAUCAUUGCAAUUAUUGAUCGUGAACGAGGAAUUCCUAGUAAGUGCAAGUCAUCAGCUUGCGCUGAUUACGUCCCUGCCCUUUGUACACACCGCCCGUCGCUACUACCGAUUGAAUGGUUUAGUGAGAUCUCUGGAUUGACGCUGGCUAGGGGGCGACCCUUGGCCAGGCUGUCGAGAAACUGCUCAAACUUGAUCAUUUAGAGGAAGUAAAAGUCGUAACA
rnacentral:rRNA from 1 species